GGCCCGCAUGACUCGUCCAGUCAAAUUUGGAGAUUGACAGGCGGCGUGAGAAGUAGGAAGGCGUCAGAGAGCGAGCUAAACUCGUCCGCCUGCGGGAGUCGAUAGGCCUUAUCACGACACUCAAAUGCUCGUUCGCUUCCAUCCAAGCGCUCUCAAGAAAAACAAAGACUACAAACGACAAAAUGUGGCAAUUCAAGUCAUUCUCCAGCCCCCCUUUUUUUUUUUUUUUUUUUUUUAAACAAGCGUGCCAAACAGAUUUAACAAAUCCAUCAGACAUCCAAGAAGGAAGGUUGCCAGGUUGGUCUUCUGCCGGGAUGGUGCAGAGAGGCUGAGGCAGCAGAUCCUGCUAAGAAUCGCUAAAUCAGCCAGACGGGUGGCGACCGAGAGGGGGCACCCACUAAUGACAAGGAGGUUCGCAUUACAGAUUUUUUUUUUAAUUAACUCCAUUUUGUAACUCUGGUGACAAGCAGGUUGCCGUCUGUCACCUGGUGCAAUGAUGGCAGCUGUCCAUGGGUCUGCUGGACAGUAAGAACAAUGGCGUCACACGGGGAGGAGGAGGGGGGCCAAGAUCCCAAUCAGCCCAAGAAUGUGAAAGAGGAAGCCCGGGGAACAAUGUGCAGCGCUACCCGUGCCGUUCUGGGCCCGCCCCCCCUGCCUUGGCCCGCUUUCAAACGCAGGAGAAAACAGGAAAACUCGUGGGCUGGAACCCAAAGACCCAAGUCUGUGUACUGUGUGGAGCGGGUGAUACUGUAAGUCAUGAGAAUCACUUGGACAGUGAACUUAUUUAACCUGCCUCACAGCCACAGAUGAGCUCGAAAACAAAGUUAGACUGCCCCCUGGUGGCAAUAGUCACACAAGACAUCUAUCAUGGAAAAGUCUACACACCCGUGUUCAAAUGCCAGGCUUUUGUGAUAUAUAAAAUAAAUAUUCUUUAUUAUUGUGACCUGUACAAUUGAGUUGGGG